rnacentral:rRNA from 1 species
UACAGAGGGGGCAAGCGUUGUUCGGAAUUACUGGGCGUAAAGGGCGCGUAGGCGGCCUGCUAAGUCGAACGUGAAAUCCCCGAGCUCAACUCGGGAACUGCGUCCGAUACUGGCAGGCUUGAAUCCGGGAGAGGGAUGCGGAAUUCCAGGUGUAGCGGUGAACUGCGUAGAUAUCUGGAGGAACACCGGUGGCGAAGGCGGCAUCCUGGACCGGCAUUGACGCUGAGGCGCGAAAGCCAGGGGAGCAAACGGG